GCAGAGUAGCCCAGUAGAAAGGGCACAAAUUUGAGAUUUGGGGGCCUGGGUUCUAAUCCUAGUUCUGACA
rnacentral:tRNA from 1 species